rnacentral:rRNA from 1 species
AUUGAACGCUAGCGGGAUGCUUUACACAUGCAAGUCGAACGAGCGGAGGACGGGUGAGUAAUGUGUGGAGAACGGCCCGAUGGAGGGGGAUAACUACUGGAAACGGUAGCUAAUACCGCAUACUAUCGGAUGCGCCCAUCUGUGAUUAGCUAGUAGGUGGGGGAAUGGCUCACCUAGGCGACGAUCCCUAGCUGGUCUGAGAGGAUGAUCAGCCACACUGGGACUGAGACACGGUCCAGACGCCUACGGGAGGCAGCAGUGGGGAAUAUGGCACAAUGGGCGCAAGCCUGAUGCAGCGAUGCCGCGUGUGUGAAGAAGGCCCUAGGGUUGUAAAGUACUUUCAGUGUGGAGGCGUUACCGACAGAAGAAGCACCGGCUAACUCCGUGCCAGCCGCCGCGGUAAUUC